UACGUAGGGACCGAGCGUGGUCCGGAUUCAUUGGGCGUAAAGAGCUCGUAGGCGGCCACUCAAGUCGAAUGUGAAACCUCGAGGCUUAACCUCGAGCCUGCAUUCGAUACUGGGCGGCUAGAGUCUGGUAGGGGGAUCUGGAAUUCCUGGUGUAGCGGUGGAAUGCGUAGAUAUCGGGAGGAACACCAGUGGCGAAGGCGACUACCUGGCCUGUUCUUGACGCUGAGGCGCGAAAGCUAGGGGAGCAAACGGG
rnacentral:rRNA from 1 species